rnacentral:rRNA from 1 species
UUAAUUCUUAAGUGAAAAAGCUUAAAUAUUCUUGGAGGACGAUAAGACCCUAUAGAUCUUUACACCUAUCCUUUCCUAGGGCGGCUGUCAUUUUAGGUUAUUAUAAAGUGUUUCGUUGGGGCGACGGUGGGAGUAGAAUAAACUCCUUCCUUUUAUAACAGCAAUAACUGACGUUUGAUCCUGGUACGAAUUAAGAGCAAGUUACCUUAGGGAUAACAGCGUAAUUCUUCUUGAGAGACCUAAUCGACAGAAGAGUUUGCGACCUCGAUGUUGGUUCAGGGAACCUUACUAGCGCAGCAGCAAGUGGAGGCAGUCUGUUCGACUAUUAAUUCCCU